GAUCAAACAUGAUGAGGGGGCCGGAGGCUAAAAUGUACAAAGACUGGUUACAGGAAUUGGAUUAGUCUAAUGAAAAGAAGGACUGGGGGAGACACGAUAGCAGCCUUACAAUUUUUGAGUGGCUCCUCCCAAGAU